CAGAGGGCCAUCGUUGACCCUUGGAAAAACCCUGGGGACCGGGCGCCCUGAGUUGGUAGCAAGAGCAGACCUUUCUGAACACCUUUCUGGGCAAAAUUGUUCUGCCCCACAUUUUGCCUACGUCAUAUUACAUAACAAAGGAUUAGCUACAAGUAUGUCUGUGACACAAACCUUAUUGAUUUCACCCAAGAGGAAAGUACAUUGUCAUUGCUAGGUUUCUCUUUGAUGGUUAAUCAGAGGACCUUGGAGCUGCCUUCCGCAAAGCAUAGAGGGAGACUUCCAUGCCACUGUAGGAUGUUUUUCCUCUUUUGCCAAAAUGGGUCGCUUGUUUCCCGAAAUACUUGAAUGGACUCCAACUCUCCCAAAUGGUUUAAUACCUAUACGAUAACACUGAAGAAUUUGAAUAUCGCUUCACUAAUAAACGCUUCAAAGGAAAUCUUGGAACAUGAAUGUUACAAGAAAAAUAUCCACGGCCCCUUUAUUGAACCUGAUGUGAAAGGAGCACACUGCGAGCUCAGUGGCUCUGAAUCAUGCCUCAAGCCUGUUCUACUCAAGCAAGCUCUCAAGACCCAACAAGUCUUCCGGUGACUCAGAACAGAAAGCAGAAUGAAUGCUCUGUCCAACUUGUGUUUCUGAAGCAUUUAUUGGGUGUCGCCCUCAACCAUCCAGCUGAAUCCUUUUUGCAAGACACACAACAAAGAAUUCAGUGAACAAAGCAAAACAAGUCCGUAGCAUUCCAGAAGGAUUCCCUAAUCUAAAUAUGAAAUGUGCAAGUUACGACUCAUCUGGCAGAUCGCACAGGAACAUGGGGAGGAUUGCGAUAGACCAAGGCAACGGGAAGCCUCACGCUGGCAAAUUGAAUUGGAUUCGUUAUAGUUUCAUCAACUAUUUACACUUGACGACAUCAGGACCUACGAACAUGUUAAAAUUAAGGAGAAAGAAUCCUAGGAUCAUGAGAUUGAGAAGAAAUUUCAAAAGGACAUUGUGUAUAUUUCUUUCCAUCGGGCUUGCGUUUGGCCGUCUUUCCCAUAGUUAACUCUGGCCGUAUGAGGAAGUUCUUUCUGGUGGCCUGGGGGCUGAAGUGAUAUUUGUCCCGCAACUGCCCUCGUGCAGACCUCUGAGCUCUUCUCUUGGCUGACUGGGACCACACACAGAGUGACCUUGGACUUCAAUUGCUGGAACGGCCAUCAGCCUAAGUUUUCAAAUGACUCCAUGAAGACUGAAGCCAUGUCCUGCCUUUCCUUCCCUGAAAACUGGAACUCUUAAGUGAGCAAGAAUAGAAUAAAUUCUUUAAGCCUCCGUAUUUGGGUUC